rnacentral:lncRNA from 1 species
UAUCAAUAUCACCCCAAAGACGAACUCGAAAUCUGAAGAUAGAUUUGAAAGCAAAGUGAUCAUGCAAUGAAAAAACUGAAAAAUCUAAAAUUAACAAGUAUCUCAGAGCAGACUAUUCUAUAUCACCACAACCUGCGGAUAAACAUAACCCAGAGCAACGGUCGAGGGAAGGAAAAUCAAAUCUCAAUUAGUAAAACAGGGACAAGAUUCUUCAUAUAAGCACAGUGUGGGAGGAUAAUCAAACUCGAAGCACUUUCUUCUACCCUGAAAAUAACCAAAUCCUGACAAGAUAAAACAUUGAUCCGACACAAAAUUGCAUGAUUAUACACACACACAUGUUGCUACAUAACCGAACAUCAUACCCUAUACAUUGCCGCAUCAAAAUCACCGUAGAAAAGCACAAUCAAACCCUCUCGCAAAGAGGAGAAAUUGUUAUACCGGCGAAAUCACCCAAAUAAAAUUAAACAGAACCACAACAAGACAGGAAUCGGAUAAGAGAGAACAAAAGAAGUAUACAACUGAGAAGUACAAACCGUUUGCAAUCCCAAUUCCAAAAAUUUCAGAAUUUAAAAAUUAAAAACACCUUAUAAAAAUCAAUAACAUGAAUUCCACCGAUGACCAGUUGUGAAUCGCCCACAAAAAAAAAAAAAAAAGCAAUAGAACGAGAUCUAAGAAAACAAAGAUUACAAGUUAUUAUGAUUCAGAACUUAUUCAAUAUCGAUUUCAUGCAUGACCCAAAGACUAAAAUUCCAUUUCUAACGAAUAUUUAGAAAAAUGGGAAAAUUCACAGUUAGAUUUUCUGUGCCCUCCUCCUUUACCCGGGCUUGGGACCGGCUGUGCUGAGCAAAUAAAAUAUUGCACGCACAGGCGGAGUUACAAGAAUAAACCUACAUACAACUAGCAACACUAAAAACACACACAAUCACACAUAGAUAUAAGCAAGCAAAUUGUACAUACCGUUCCAGACAACAAAUAUUAAAGCUGAGAAAUAGUUUGAUUCAUAUACGAUAGUAGAUCGGAUAAAAGCUUAGUUACUUAUAAAAACUUUUGCACUCGUUUCAAUCAUUCAUUUCCCUGUUCUUUCUUCUAAUUAUUGUGGAGAACAUUAGAGAUAAAGGAAACACCUCAUGUGAAAAAAAUUACCAAAGUCGUAUCCAAGAAGACAUAAAUUUUAUCAAAUAAGGUAAACUAAUACUUACAUAUUUACGCAGAAACAAACCUUAAAUCAAAUAAAUUCACCGAGACUUGAAAAAAAUACAUCACUUUAGCAUAUUACCAGUGUUAGAGAAGAACAUUAACUCACAAUCUGCAAAAAGACAAUUUCACACACUUGAAAAUUCUCACAUAGUACAAAUCACGAUAAAGAAGUGACCAAGAACUGUGCAGAAUGGUAAUCCAAAGCAUAUUCAAUAGAUUCUAAACAUCCUCAAAACAGCAGAGCAGCAAAUCUAAUUAUCCUAGCUCAUAAGAAUCACAACAUACGAGCAGAAACAAAGGCCCUAACAGUCGACUUCAAAUACUACUUGACAACUGAACGAGGUUUAUUAUUCUGAGAUGCAUAGUGCCAACUUAGAUUGCCUAGAAAAAUUGCCAGGAAAAAAAACCUUAACUUGCACAAUGCAUAUAAGACCACUUCAAGAUUUACUCAGGUCUUUCUCUUACGAGAAAGCUGACCUGUUCACAUGAUCCAUAAGAGGCUAUAGUUUCGUAAAAUUAGAUUUUCAUCACUCCUGUAGUUAGCUUUAGAAUAAAGAUGAAACUAGCACAACUUCCUAAAGACCACAAAUCAAAGGUACCAAAUGGUUGGACAACACCGUCAUUUUUGUUGCAAGUUUCUGCAAAUAGAAAGGAAAAACGAUAUAGGAUUUGUAGCCUAAAAAAGAAUAGAUUAUGGAGGGAUUCGAAGAAUAUUAACUUACCAUCACUAUCGUACUCACCACCACUCGUCGAUCAACACAGCCCAAACCAUCUUAUGUAGCAACUGAACCUCUCAAAACAUAACACAAAAUUGUCAUACAAGCAAAUUCACGUAAAGAUGGAGAAAUGCUCAAAGCUCGAAACACUUUCCUCUAUCCAGAAUCCUAUGACCGCACAGAAUUAAAAAAAAAUCAAACCAGCCAACAACCAGACCAAGAUGGGAAAACAUGAACCAAAUCCAAACCACAGUGCCAGAUCAAUUACCUUGCCAGAUCAUAACCAAACAUCAUAAAUACCUUGCCAGAUCAAUUAUCAUUCAAAGAAGACCUAGACAGUGCCACAGACAAAAGAAACAUAUAACAGAGGCUCCCGAUAAUUAGACUGUAAGACCAGCAAAACCACCCAAAUCAGAACCAAAAACAGAAAGGCACGAAAGAACUUUAGCUAAAACAAGAGUUAGAUUAUCUUCACCAUUAAGUAUCCAUCACAUCUGUAGCUUUACAUAAGAGACUCUGACUCAUUUUCCAACGGUUUGCUUAAGAAAUAGUAAAAUCAGAUUCAUCAUUCCUAUAGAACAUGUAGUUUCAGAUACUAAAAUUGAACUACGACACUUCCCUUCAGCCACAAAAUUAAAUUAUCUUCCCACUUAGUCAAUAGGCCAGAGUAAUGCAGAUGGAACUAGCAAAACUUUCUUUAAACCCCAAAACAGAAGGCCCACCAUCAUUUUUGUUGCAAAUGUCUGCAGACAGAAAGGAAAAGAAGAACAGAGGAUUGAAGAUUGAUUUGAAAGCAAUAUGAAAGUUGGACGAAAAGGUGAUUGUUGAGGGAGACAUUAGAAAAUACUCUCUCAAAGAACCGGAGACGCAUCUCACUAAGCCACUACCUGCCGAUCAAAACACAUUUUGCAACCAGAAGCAAGAAAUUUUUCAUGACAUAAAUAAAUCAGAAAUUAAAUUAUCUUCCCCAUUAGGUUGUCCGUUAAUUAGACUCAACCUCAGAUCCAACUGCACUAAUCCAUCUUUUGCCGAAGCAAUGGGUUAUCCUGUCCAAAGAUGGAACUACCGCAGACCCCUAAAAUACACAAACAAAAGUUAACAAAUGCGAGGACAUCCACCAUCAAUUUAGCUUCAAGAGGAAAAGCGAAGCCGGGAUUUGAAGAUGAAUUUUAAAAAGUCAAAACGAUUCUAAAAUUUGGGUGAUAAGGAUAAUUACAAAGAGACAGAAGGUAAUAUAAACUUAGAAUCAAACUGGUCAACAUCUGAAACCGACAAGGCACAUCUUGGCGCCCUAAUUUGUCGCCACCUGCUGACUAUCAACACGAUCAAAACCAAAGGUCCAGAACAGCAUCUUGCUAUUGUUAUUAUUCUUUAGACGAGACAAAGAUUAAACAGGUAGGGACUCUUUCAUGGUAAAAUAGAAGUUCACCUGUACCAUAUACUCUGAUUCGCCUCAGCCAAACAUCUUACGUGGUAACCAAACUUCUCAGGACUUCACACAAAACUAUAAUAUACUCAAACUUGAAGCUUUAUUCUUCUACCAAAAAGCAUAUUUUAACCAUUUCCGACGAAUUCUACGGCACCUCAUAAAAGAAUCAAUGGACCAUCAGACCCAAACAAUUUGAAAAUAACCAAACAUCAAAAUCACCCAAGUAAGAACAGGAAAUGUUAUGGUCAUAUAACGUAGAAAUCUGAAAAUUGAAUGAUAAGAAUGAUUAUUACAUAAGAAUAUAUAAUCUGGAACUGACAAAAUCAUAUCCAGCAGUACACUCCACUAAACCCACUGAUCAACAUAUUACACAAUCAGAAACAAAAUAAAUUAUCUUGCCAUCAGAUCUCUAGCUUAAGCAAUUGGCGAUCCUAUCCAAAUUAUCCAGGUGUACAUAAGCUCUAGUAAAAUCAGAUCCGACGUUCUAGUUGCACAGUUAGCUUAGCCCCAUAAAAUAAAGAUGAAACAAGCACAACCUUCGUAAAGCCACAAAACAGAAAGUACCAAAUAGUAGGACGGGCACCAAAACGUUUGUUGCAAAUUUCUGCAAACAAGUAGGAAAAGCAGUAAAGGGAUUUAACAUAUACAUUAAAAAAAUUGUGAUAUAAAGUUAGAAAAAUGAGGAGGAUGAGGAAGAAAGAGAAAGCGAGAUUGAACAAUAUCUGGAACUGACGGGUGUCUCAGAAAUAUCGUAUCGGUAUUGCACAUAUAUACAUAUCAUAAGGAGAAUCAAAUCUCAAUCAGAAGAUUCCGAGACAAAUAGGUUGAACAUCCGGUCGUAUAUGGUUGUAUAUGCAUAUCAAAAGGAAGAAACUUUAACAGACACUCUUGCUUAGAAUCAUCAGCCAAAACAUCUUAUACCGACCUUGUCAGAGGAACAGAACAACACAAUUAUGACGAGGAGAGAACAUACUCGUAUUCAAAGCGCUUUCUUCUACAAAGAAUCAUAUUCAAGGUUGAGCGAAAAUCAAAUCAGCCGAUUACCAAACCCUAGCAAGAUAAAACACAAUCCAAACGCAAAAACCACUUGUUGAUGAAUAACCGAACAUCAUACCUAAUACCACGCCGGAUCAAAAUCACCAAAAGAAAACCAAUUCAGAAUCACAAUCAAACGACCGGCGAAGAAUCCACGACGCUCCGAUUGUCAGACCGGCAAAAUAACCCAGAUAAAUCAAAUCAGGACCCUACAAUCAGACGGUAUCGCGAAAGAGAAAAAAAAAACAUGGGACGGAUAAUCGCCGCUGAUUGAAUUGAAUUGCGCAGGUUUCAUAGCGACGAAAAUACAUAUACAAUCUGAAAAACGGAAACGACAAAUAAACAUCCGCAGAGAACCAAAGGCAAUCAAAC